rnacentral:lncRNA from 1 species
AUGGCACAGGAAUAUGAAGUCAAACAUUCGCAUAAAAAAUUGAUGAAACUCCUUGGACCCCUGGCAGAACACAUUACCAAUAUGUUUCCAUUAUCUUCUGGAUUUUAUCUCUCCUAUUGGAAAGUCAGUGGUAAGUAUCAUGGUUGUACUUUUCAAGGUAAUGUGUCUCUUUUUAUUAUUCAUAAAAUGGGGUCUAAGAUGCCUUUAAGAUGUUCUCUUUCCUUGGUUUUCAGCAAUCUGAUUAUGAAGUACCUAAAUGUAGUUUUCUUUGUAUUUAUUUUGUAUUGAUGCUGCAAAUCUUGAUGAUAUCUACAUCUGAAAAGGAUUUUCUUUAGCAUCUGGCAGGCAAUUGGAGAGGAGACAAUCACCUAAAUCCAAUCAGGGACUGAGCUAAUUCAUAAGGUCUGGUGUAUUUCCAAUUUGACCAUACUCAUAGGUCAUACUCCUUCAGGGUCAGUGAAAGUCUGGGUAUUUUCUAGGGCUUCUUUACCCAGCUAGCCUUGAACUCUAAUUCUUAUAUUCUUAGUCUUGUUAAACUGCUGAAAGCUCUACCAUAUUCUCUGGUCCUUAACAGCUACUUUUUUUUUUUUAGACAGAGUCUCACUCUGUCACCCAGGCUGGAAUGCAGUGGCACGAUCUCAGUUCACUGCAAACUCCUCCUCCCGUUCAAGCAAUUCCCAUGCCUUAGCCUCCUGAGUAGCUGGGACUCCAGGCAUAUGCCACUACACCUGGCUAAUUUUUGUGUUUUUUUUGUAGAGAUGGGGUUUCAUUGUGUUGGCUAGGUUGGUCUCAAACUCCUGACCUCAUGUGAUCCACCCACUUUGGCCUCUCAAAGUGCUGACAUUACAGGCAUGAGCUACUACGUCCAGCCUUAACAGCUCCUUUCUACUUGUCUUUUCAUUCCCUUCACUAAUAUCAUUUAUGAAUCAGCAAAUUUCUCAAGGAGAAAAAAAUGUAGAACAGUGAAUUCACCUUGAGCUUCCCUUUUUUUCAUAAUCUGUAACCAUAAGUCCUGAAUACCUUAGUAACUUUCUGGUGACCUUCAGUGUCCAUGUAUGUGUGUGUGUGUGUGUGUGUGUGUGUGUGUGUGUGUGUUUUAUCCAGCUUUUCUACUUGUUCUUGGUGGAAGAAUUGAUCUGCUGUAAGCUAGUUCCUUAUAGCCAGAAGCAAAACUCUCAUUGGUAUUUCAUACAGCAAACUUGGUUAAGAGAUAUUUUCAACCAGCACUGCCAUGCAAUUUCAAUAUAAUGAUGUUCCUAAUACCAACCUUAUGACAUUCUGAUCCUA